UGAACGCUGGCGGCGUGCUUAACACAUGCAAGUCGAACGAACCUUCGGGUUAGUGGCGGACGGGUGAGUAACGCGUGAGAAUCUGCCCUCAGGAGGGGGACAACAGCUGGAAACGGCUGCUAAUACCCCAUAUGCCGCGAGGUGAAAUGAAUUUCGCCUGAGGAUGAGCUCGCGUCUGAUUAGCUAGUUGGUGUAGGUAAUGGCUCACCAAGGCAUCGAUCAGUAGCUGGUCUGAGAGGAUGAUCAGCCACACUGGGACUGAGACACGGCCCAGACUCCUACGGGAGGCAGCAGUGGGGAAUUUUCCGCAAUGGGCGAAAGCCUGACGGAGCAACGCCGCGUGAGGGAUGAAGGCCUCUGGGCUGUAAACCUCUUUUAUCAAGGAAGAAGAUCUGACGGU
rnacentral:rRNA from 1 species